UACGUAGGGGGCGAGCGUUAUCCGGAAUUAUUGGGCGUAAAGCGCGCGCAGGCGGUCGGUUAAGUCAGGUGUGAAAGGCUGCGGCUCAACCGCAGAGCGGCACCUGAAACUGGUCGGCUUGAGUGCAGGAGAGGGGAGCGGAAUUCCCGGUGUAGCGGUGGAAUGCGUAGAGAUCGGGAGGAACACCAGUGGCGAAGGCGGCUCUCUGGCCUGUAACUGACGCUGAGGCGCGAAAGCGUGGGGAGCAAACAGG
rnacentral:rRNA from 1 species